UGGGGAAUUUUGGACAAUGGGCGAAAGCCUGAUCCAGCAAUGCCGCGUGUGUGAAGAAGGCCUUCGGGUUGUAAAGCACUUUUUUCCGGAAAGAAAUGGCUCUGGUUAAUACCUGGGGUCGAUGACGGUACCGGAAGAAUAAGGACCGGCUAACUACGUGCCAGCAGCCGCGGUAAUACGUAGGGUCCAAGCGUUAAUCGGAAUUACUGGGCGUAAAGCGUGCGCAGGCGGUUGUGCAAGACCGAUGUGAAAUCCCGGAGCUUAACUUGGGAAUUGCAUUGGUGACUGCACGGCUAGAGUGUGUCAGAGGGGGGUAGAAUUCCACGUGUAGCAGUGAAAUGCGUAGAGAUGUGGAGGAAUACCGAUGGCGAAGGCAGCCCCCUGGGAUAACACUGACGCUCAUGCACGAAAGCGUGGGGAGCAAACAGG
rnacentral:rRNA from 1 species